rnacentral:lncRNA from 1 species
UUCAUGCAUAUCUCUCACGGUUCUCCCUUUAUUCUCUCCUCUUUUCCUCUUUUUUUUCUACUAUUUUUCUUCUUUCUCUUGUUUUAUUCUCUCUUCCUCAUUUAUUGUCCUUUCUAACAAACCGCCCCUGCCCCUGCCCCUGCCCACAUACCUUCUAGCGUCUUACGUACGAUUAAAGGCCAGCUUCCUUCCCAUCAUUCAAGAUUUAAAUCCUCAAUUAUCUAUCCAAUCCAUUGCUCCCCAUUUCUUCGGCGGUUCUCUCUCGCUCUCGAUCACUUUUCAACGUUUUCCUGUCAUUCUUUUUUAGCUUUGGGUAUCCACGGGCCAAAAAAAAAACACCUAGAAGGAGAGAGUUUUCGUGAGAGAGAAACCCUAAGUUUUCUCUGGCGUUUCUGGUUUUUGUGAUUUUUGAAAUUCGCUGCUUCAACGGAGACUCAUUUCAGGUAUCAAUCUCUUUUUUAGUUUCAGCUCCAUGCUUUUUCACUUGUAUUUCAGUGGGUUUUUUCUUAUGGUUUUUGGUUUUCAGCUUUAGAAAUCACUGUUUCAUUCCGUCUUUCAAAUCUACAGAUGUCGGUCUUGCUCUUCAUUUUUGUUUGUUUAUCGUCUAGUAUACGUUGUUCUUUAUUUCUGGAUUGUUUGUUUCCCUCUGUUUAAUAUUAUAGCUUUUGUGUUAUUUUCUAUUUCUUCUAAGUCUUUGUUAGCAGAAUACUAAUUGCCUAAACAAAAAGCAUCCGUACGUAAAUUGUUUACUGCAUCUGGGUUGGCUUGAUUUUAGUUCUAGGAAUCCGGUGGGAGUUGUGACGCAUGUAGAGUUUAUUUGGUAGUUUUUCUGGAUGGUAAUAACAUGUCUUUUUAAUUUGUUGUGAGUUGUGACAUUCUGUUUCUUGGUUUUCUCAAAAAGUCUGUACUUUAGUUUAAAAAUGUAAUAAUAAUAAUCUAAUUGGGAUGCUUGUUGAUAUUGAUAAGAAUUGGAGAUUUUAACCCUCAACAUUUACACACUAUGACAACAUUGAAAAAAGAAAAUCAAUAUGUGAACUGAUUGUCUGGGUUUGUUCUUUUCCUUUGAUUAACAUAGCCUUGGGAGUUCAAAUUAGUCUAUAAGAUGCACUAAUAUUUGGACUACCAGUUUCUAUAAUUUAAUGGUAUGUGGCUUGCAAAAUAUGUUCAAUGCUGCUUUACAAUUUGCUACACUUUGAUCAUAAUGACUUUCUUUUCCUUCAACUUUGCCUGUAACAUGCUUGGUAAUGUUUGUUGUUGGUUAACUUGAAACAUAUUUCUUAUUGUGUUUUCCUAAUCAUUCUCUUUUACGGUUCUCUAUUGGUUAUUUUCUAUCAGACUUGGCAAUGGUGUUUUGGCAUUUCCCAGCUUUAGGAGGUCUGGAGUAUGUAAGUAGAGAAUCAUGCCUGAUGUUAUUUAUAUUACUGCUCUGAAUUGGUCCCAGUUCCCGGAAGCAAUUUGAUUUAAAGCAUCAGCUUAACCAAUAAUUGUGUUUCUUCAAAUAAGCUUUUGGUAUUUUCCUGCUCUCUUCUUGAAAUAUUGGAUCAACUGACAUGUUCGUUUUGAAAUUGGAUGCUUAGGAUUUGUUUGGCCUAGAUCUUUUAUAAAAAACUGUUGUUCAAGUAGAUCUCUUCUAGUGCUGUAAAAGAUAAAAUACUUAACGUAAACUAUAUAAUAAUAUACAUUUUUCUAAUAAAUUAAAAAAACCUGAACUUUAUUAAACUGAGGGUUUUGUUGAUACAAUAUAAGAAUGUGGCAAGAAGGUUGGAGGCAGUUCACUCGAUGGGCCGAGAUUUGUACCUGGUAGUAGAUAGAUUGGUCCCCUCUUUUUAUUAGGUUUGAGGGGAGUAUUUAAGGGGAACACUUAUAAGCCAUGUGUCCUUGUUUUAUUGGUGGGCUUGUUAUUCAAAGUGUGUGCCAUAUUAGGGCGGCUAUGUGAUUUGAUGUAACGAGGAUAAAGAGUAGUGUCAACAGAGUGGUUUAGCUUGGCGUGACGUGGCCUUGGGCAGAGGGUGGUGAUUAGUGGGGUUAUUCUGUUUGGUGGGGUUGUCCCAAUUGAUGAGGUCUGGUGAAGGUAUGUUAAGUGAGGAUCUGUCCCUCAGUUGAAGGGAAGGUUAUAAAGUAACCUUACCUGAGACAAAAAGUAUUAGUGAAGUCUCUAUGUUCCGGGCAAGUUCUGUCUAGAAAAUUUUCUGCCUACUUUGUUUCAUAAAAUUGGAGGAAAUUUUUGCGAAGUUUGUGAUUUGAUUGUUCUUGUGAAAUUCACACAAGGCCUUGAAGGCAAGGUGUAAACAUUCAAAUUAUGAAUGCAUGAAGCCUUGGAGGCAAAGUAUAAAUGUGCUAGGUGUUCUUAGAAACGCUCUUUACCUAAAAAGGUUAAAUGUGCCUGAAGAGGCUUUGUUUUUGAAAAGUUUAGUUGUUUGAGAAGUUGAAGUAUGCAUUGAAGGCUGUGUCUAAGAAGACAAAGUAUGCCUUGGAAGGCUAAAUGUCUUGGAAGACAAAGCAUGCCUUGAAGGCUAAGUAUUUGAGAAGACGAAGUUUGCCUUAAAGGCUAAGUGCCAAAGAAAAUGAAGUAUGCCUUGAAGGCUGUGUUUAAGAAUAGAAAGUAUGUCUCGUAGGUUAAGCGUUUGAGAAGUAGAAGUAUGCAUUGAAAGCUAAGUUCCUUGAAAUAUGUGCUUGAACAUUGCACAAUAUUUUUCCCUGAAAAACUUGUAAUUACUUGUAUAAUUGUACCUUCAUUGAGGUAUGCCUGAAAAGGUUGAAAGGUACUCGCCAAUGGAGUAUGCUCAUGAUAUUUAUCCCUUCAAAGCUUGAGGAAUGUCAGUAAUUAUUUAUAAUAUGCAUAAGUUAUACAGUGCUUAUCCUUUAGCUAGGUAUGCAUGGAAGUGAGCUUGGCAUAUGUGGCGAGUACCUUUCAACCUAACUGUGCGGUUUGUGAUUUAUAUUUAUAUGAAAUAAUCACAAAUAUAUAUUUAUCACUGCCCUGGUUCAGACCUAACUGUGCUUACACAAAUUUAUAUUAAAUAUAAUUUUUAUAUAAAUUUUUCACCCAAUGCAAAAAGGCAAGAAACUAGGGUUAGUGAUUAUAUUUAUAGAUGAAUGAUGAAAUAAAGAAGAACCGAUUGUUUGUUUUGAGUUCUCACUUAACCCUUUGCCUCUAGCAUCUUCCCUCAUGGCUUCGGAGAAAGAAGCUGCCCUUGCUGCUGCUCCCUCUGAUUCUCCUACCAUGUCAGCCCAGCCCUAUAUUUCUCCUUCUCCUUUAUGCAUCAAUUUCUUCUUUUAGAAAAAAAAGAAUUCUUUUCUUUUUAGAAUAAUUCUCGACAGUAAAUGUUCCUUCCCUUUUCACUUCGAUGUGAAUUAGCAGAUCAUUCCUUCUCAUUUACUUUUUUUUUUUUUCAGAUUUGACAAAAUCAUCAACAAGGAAAUACCAGCUACCGUGGUGUAUGAAGAUGAUAAGGUUCUGAUCUUUUUUCUUUUUCUUUUUACUUCUGAUUUUAAAUUCUGCGGAUUCAGUCACUGCUUAUUUGUACGCUGGAAAGAUAUUUUAGAAAUCAGGCCUUUUUUUUUCCUUCUUGAACUAUGGCUUGAUUCUUGCAACAGGUGAUGCUCAUUAUAUAUAUAUUUAUUUGUUUCUUAAAACAAAUUUCCCUCGACCAAAUUCUGGUCUCGACCUGGAACUUGGUCUGGCUUUUAACAAUUAGAAAGGCACUACUUUUGACCUUUUCAAUUUUUAUCUUAAAAUGGAUAGAAAUGCAAACACCCCCUGCCCUUAUAAGUUGGGGAAGAUACGUCGUCCUUGUGCAUUUUGACAAGUAGCCCGUUAUUGGCCUAAAGUAAUGCAUCGAGACUUGUGGGGUAACACAUUCUAAGUUAGAAUGAGAGAGUAGAGGUUCAUUUGUUUGUCUUAAGAGCUGUCUAUAUAAAGGGCUGUGUUUUUUAUUUUUGUUUAAUUUAUUUUCACUAGUGGUCUUGCUAAGGGUAAUAGAUGAGAAUUUGUUGGAAUUUUGAGGGAUGCUUAUUGUAUUUAAGAGGAUGGAUUCUAAGGAAUGAACGUGGAAGUGGCCUUAUGCCUUGAAAUUAUUAGGUUCAUUAAUUGGAUCAGUCAGCUGGUCAAAUGUUUUCAGGGAAAUGAGAUAGCAGAUGUAUUAGGUAAGGUUGGCAUUUGAAGGGAAGUAUUUUCAUGGCCUGAGGGUGAUAUUUGUUCUUUUUUUAUUGAGUUCUCUGUGCGAUUAUUGGUAUUUCCAUGUCCUGGUGCUGUCUGUUCUUACUUGGUGUUUGAGUUUUGGUUGACUUGUGCUACUGAUGUUUUAAUUCUACAUAUUGGUUCUGAAAUGUCUUUGUCCUUUGUUUGCUUUUGUGAGUGUUGUCAGUUAUUAGUGAAAGUUGUCUUAACAAAAGAGUUUUUCAUGUUCAAGUAAGAGUUAGAAAGAAUGCAAUUGGCUUCAUAAUUGUUAAUGGAAAGAGUUUAUCACUUCCAAGAGAAGUUAAGUGGACCACGUUUAAAAUUUUAGAUAAUUUUGAUGAUGAAAACUGGUGAAGGCUACUCAUUGAUGGAUUAGAGUUUAAGUAGCUUUCAGGAAUGCUAGCUGAAACUUUGGAAGAUCCAUUCCAAAUCGAACAAAUGAAAAUGUUGUUAGCAUUAGCAAAAUCAGGAAUAUGUCCGCAACUAAAAUUAGAGACCUAAUGUACAAAGCUUGAUUAGGUGAGCUGAAUCAAGUAGAGGUAUUGUAUGUAACAAAGCUCGAUUAGGUUGUUUGAAUCAGGUAAAGAUAUUGUAUGUAACUGUAUUGAAGCUGUCGAGGGUGUGUGGAUUAGCAGCUAGGGGAUUGUUUGGUAUGAUGUUUUGAAGUUGAUGUAUGUGAUGUUUGCUGUUUAUUGUUGCCUUAAUGAAAAAUCCUUAUUAUUUUAUUUCUUUCGUAACAGAGAAAUAUCGGUACUCACUGUUGCAGUGAAGAAAAUUUUAAUUAGCUUUGAAUUUUGCUUCCAUUGGCCGAAAGCUUUAAAGCUAUAACUUCUGGUAAAGAUUUUACAAUAAGCCUUUUUUUUUUAUUAGCCAAACACUUUGUCCAUUUCUAAUACCGACCAACCUUCUCAAUUUGUCUCUCCUUUCUCAAACGUGUUAUGCAUCUUCUCUUCUGUAAUGUGAUACAUUUCUGCUCUUUACAACGACCCUUUUCCUGCUUCAUUUCAUCUUUCUGACACAUGCACUUAGCACCUUUUUGGUAUCUUCAUUUUUCUUUUUUCCUCCCUUUUUUAGUGAAGAGAUAAAUGACUUUCUAGUAAAAGAUAUUUUAUUGGUAACAAACGAAAUAUGGCCUUAAUUGUUCUUUUCUUCAAAUGUUAUUAUUAAUGAUAAAUGAUGGUAUGAAUUAUUUUAGCAUCUUAGUAUUCAAUGUAUACAUAUUUUGGUCUCUGCACAGUAUUUCUUUGAUUAUUUUUAGAUGAAAUUUGGAGAUGCUAGAACAUAACUUAAGCUCUUCGGUAUAUUUUACAAAUAUUUUUAUAGAAUUGUGAUUAAUUCCAUAUGGACCUGGAUGAGAAGGUCAUCAACAGUUUGUUAUCAUACUAAGGCUUAGCUGCUCUUUGCUUUAGUCCCGUUUCACUGUUGCAGUGAGAUUGAAUUUCUUUUUCAUUGCACUAGACUGGUGAACCAAGCAGCAGACUAGUGAGGUUGAGUACCCCAACUGUACUUACACUGGUGAAAAAAGCUCAUCCAAGGGCAGUCUUAGUUUGGAUGAGCGGUGUGUUUAGCUCCGGUGAGAUUAAAAACAGCGGUGGCGGUAAGAUUAAUUACUGUAAUGGUAAGAUUAGAAACAAUGGUGGAGUGUGUUUGGAUUCAAACGCAGCUGUAGCGGUGAGGUAAGAAUAAAAAAUGACUAUUAAAGACAUCAUAUUAGAAUUGAUAUAUAAUAGAAGUUUUUUAAAUUAUUUUACUUUUAUAAAAUUAUUAAAAUAUGUGAGUUUAUAAAUUUAUUUAAUAAAAUAUUAAAAUCUAUUCAUUUAUGUGUAAUUUUUAUCAAUUAUAUUUCUACUUA